CAACGAUAAAAACAUCAAUGAAAAACAGGCCAGAAUAAAAAGAUCAGUGAACGACAGGACUGAAUAAAACAUCAAUAAAAGACAGACCGGAAUAAAAAAAACAUCAAUGGAAGGAAAAAACAAAAUUAGAGCAGACGAGAAUAAAAACAUCAAUGAAAGAAAACAAAGUCAAACAGAAAUAAUCAUGAAUGAAAGGAAAGAGCGUAGAACG
rnacentral:lncRNA from 1 species